rnacentral:rRNA from 1 species
GUCUGCGGCCACACCACCCUGAACCCGCCCGACCCCAUCUGAUCUUGGAAGCUAAGCAGGGUCGGGCCUGGUUAGUACUUGGAUGAGAGACCACCUAGAAAGACCAGGUGCUGUAGGCA